rnacentral:rRNA from 1 species
UGUGUAGGCGGUUGUUUAAGUUUGGUGUGAAAUCUCCCGGCUUAACUGGGAGGGUGCGCCGAAUACUGAAUGACUAGAGUGCGGGAGAGGUGAGUGGAAUUCCUGGUGUAGCGGUGAAAUGCGUAGAUAUCAGGAGGAACACCGGCGGUGUAGACGGCUCACUGGACCGUAACUGACGCUGAGACACGAAAGCGUGGGUGGCAAACAGGAUUAGAUACCCUGGUAGUCCACGCCCUAAACGAUGCAUAUUUGGUGUGGGUCAUUCAGUUGAUCCGUGCCGGAGCUAACGCGUUAAAUAUGCCGCCUGGGGAGUACAGUCGCAAGGCUGAA